AGCGAGCCGCGUGGAGGAUGAAGGUUUUCGGAUCGUAAACUCCUGUCAAGAGGGAAGAAACCUAUUAAGAAUAAUACUCUUAGUAAUUGACGGUACCUCUAGAGGAAGCACCGGCUAAUUCAGUGCCAGCAGCCGCGGUAAUA
rnacentral:rRNA from 1 species